AUGAUCCUUGGCGACUUUAAUGAAAUCACCAACAUGAGUGAAAAGGAAGGUGGUAAUAACAGGCUUGAUCACUAUAUGCGGGACUUUAGAGACUGUAUUGAUGAUUGAGGGUUACAGGAAGUAAUGGUGAUAGGAGAUACAUUCACAUGGAGUCGUGGACCGAUCGGAGAGCGACUUGACAUGGCUCUAUGUAAUGAAAUGUGGGCAGAAAAAUUUCCUUUUGCAGGACUGGUACACGAACACCAUACCCAGUCUGACCAUAGGCCUAUUCUGCUCGAUACGGAGUAUUUCAAACCGAUGUUGAUUCAGCAGCAGCAGACCCGGAAAAGAAUGUUCGAAGCACGGUGGUUGGAAGAAGGGACAGUGAACGAGAUUGUAAACACAGCUUGGGAGCGAGCCAAGUUAGCUGGGCUAGGCCCGUCCCUUGCGGGUCGGACCAAGGCAGUAUUGAAGGACUUGCAUAUGUGGGAUCGUGAGACCCUAAAGAGCCCUAAGAAGAGAAUAAAUAAGUUAAAGAAAGAUCUGGAGAAAUUAAGAAGGGGACCGAACACUCCUGAAAACAGACAGAGAAUGAAAGAUAUCCAAGUCCUAAUUGAAAACCUACUGGAUCAAGAAGAGAUGAUUUGGCUCCAACGUGGAAGGGCAAACUGGUUUGCUGCAUGGGGAUCGUAA
rnacentral:rRNA from 1 species